UACGAAGGGGGCUAGCGUUGCUCGGAAUCACUGGGCGUAAAGGGUGCGUAGGCGGGUCUUUUAAGUCAGGGGUGAAAUCCUGGAGCUCAACUCCAGAACUGCCUUUGAUACUGAAGAUCUUGAGUUCGGGAGAGGUGAGUGGAACUGCGAGUGUAGAGGUGAAAUUCGUAGAUAUUCGCAAGAACACCAGUGGCGAAGGCGGCUCACUGGCCCGA
rnacentral:rRNA from 1 species